rnacentral:rRNA from 1 species
UACGUAGGGGGCAAGCGUUGUCCGGAAUCAUUGGGCGUAAAGCGCGCGUAGGCGGCCCGAUAAGUCUGCUGUGAAAGUCCAGGGCUCAACCCUGGAAUGCCGGUGGAUACUGUCGGGCUAGAGUUCGGAAGAGGCAAGUGGAAUUCCUGGUGUAGCGGUGGAAUGCGCAGAUAUCAGGAAGAACACCUAUGGCGAAGGCAGCUCUCUGGGACGGUACUGACGCUGAGGAGCGAAAGCGUGGGGAGCAAACAGG